rnacentral:misc_RNA from 1 species
CAUGCAUUCUUUUUCACAUUCGGGUGAGAUCUAUUAUCCAUACUUUUAAAUGGAUCCCACAUGCUUAUGAAUGUAAAUUGCACUAUUUUCCUCAUGCACUAGGUGCACUCCAUAAUUUCUCCUAUUGUAGUAUAAUUCUAUUAAUCACUGUUGAUUUUACUUCAUCGUAUUUUCUAUUUUCACCUUUCUUGUGUCCCAUUAAUUGAUAUAUUGCUUUUCAAAUCCUUAUGUGCUGCAUGUUAACUAAUUGUGAAUGAGAGCUUUUAGUUAUCAAUCCCUAAGACUUAGCCAAAUUUAUUCUUUUAAGUUAGGGUGGCACUGUUUGCCAUCUACUUGAUUAGAGUUGAGUAGUUUUCGGUUUAACUGAAAAACCAAACUGAACCAAUUCAGUUCAAUCUAUUUGGUUUUUCAAUAUGGACAGUUCAAUUUGGUUUGUGAUUUUAGGGAAUUUCAGUUUUUGGUUCGGUUCUUUUUUUGCGCAAAAAACAGACAAAAGCAAAUUGAUCAAAUGAUAAAACUCUAUCAUUUUAACCUCCGAUAUAUACAAGGUAACCCUUUCCCCCUCAACUAUUCUCCCCUCCUGCAGACCAGAGUGAUCUUCAAAUCCCUCCAACAGACAAUCCUUCUCCAUCUUGCAUGCAUCAAUCUUGGCUCCCUCCUACAAAUGACCUUUCUUGGCCAUCAAACCUCCUUGCUAGUCGCCAUUGCAUAGUCAGCCAUCGAAGCUCCGGGGUUUGCAAUCGAACCUUUUCUUCUUUCCUUGACCAUUGAACCUCCUCCCUCAUUUCGAACCUCCUCGCCAUCAAACAAUCAUUGUUCUUUGGCCUCGCUCCUCCUUUGCAAUCCUCGGCCAUCAAAUCUCCUUGCCAUCAUAGUAGGUCACCUCUGUUCCCCUUUGCUCAUUUUGAUGUUGCUGACUCCCUCCCAUCAAUGCCUUCCAUUGAUCUUGCCGUGUAACGGAAUCAUGGGCCAUGGCUUCACACGGUCUCCUCAAGUCCUCGUUAGUUGAAAUGUUGAUUUGAGCUUUUAUUCUGCUUUGUUAUGCUUUGAGUUAAUUGAUUGUUCUACUGUGUUUGUAUCUAAUUGAUUUGGUUUUGUUCUGCUAAGUUAAUUGAUUGGGUUCCUAAUGAUGAAUUGAGGAUUGGGUUAAUUGAUGAAUUAAUUGAGUUAAUUGAUUGGAUUCCUGUUAAUGAAGGAUUUGGGGGAAGUUUUGCUUAGGAUUUUGACAAAGCUUUCUCUAUAACACGGAUUGAAGAUUGUUUGGUUAACCGUUUGACUGAACUGAAUCAAACUUAUUUUUUUUUAAUUCUUUUUACACAAAUAAGUUUUUCGGUUUUGGUUCAGUUCGAGAUUGAACCGACCGUUUGCUCAACCCUAUACUUAAUGACAACAAAUUCCACAUUGAUUAGCAUUUUGCAAUCUAGGGAGCUUAUGCCUUGUAAGACUAAGCACACCCCUUUUCUUUCAAGGGUUCUUUGCUAAAAGGAUAAAUGACCCUUAAGGAGAAGGGAUGCCAACUAGUCUUAUAUGAUACAAUUCCCCUUGCCUCGCAUCUUGAGGGGUCAAUAGUUUUAUCCUGUGAGAAAAUGACGAUCAAGUGAGAAGGGAUAUAUUUGGCCUUAUAUGUUACAAGCCCCCUUGUUUGUCAAUCAGGGAUUUAGCAUCAUCAAUAGCUCUCUAAUCAAGGGGAUAUUUAAAAGAGGGGUUGGAGCUCAACCAUUCCCAUAGAUAAUGACAUUUGAUGAUUGAUCAAUUAUAUACUGGAUUAAAUUAUGACCUGCUUAAUGGGUGUACAUGGUUUGGUAUGGGAUUGUGAAAUCCCAGUGAUGUAGCAGCAAGAGUUUAAGACAAUUAGAUAUCAACAGUUAGGGCUAAAGUAGGGUUAAUUGUGAUUAGAACAAGAAAAGAUAAAUAGUGUUUACUUAAAAAAAAAACAUUGUUAAUAUGUUUACCAACAACCUUAUUAAAAGUAAAUAAAAUCCCAAAUUUAAUAGAAAACUAAAUAAAAAUUGAAAACCAAAUAGGACUUCAGAUGCCCCUGCAUUAAUGUCCUUGAGUUAGAGAAAAAAUUGGCUUUGACAAGUAAGGUUGGACAUUAUGUAGCUGCACAACCAUAGUUGUAAUGGCGCAAGGCACGGAUGGAUUUUGGGGCCCAGGUUGUUACGAUCCUACAUUGCUAAGGAACAAUCUUGGUUAUAGGUUAAUAAGUCCUUAGAUACCCUCCCUUUGUAAGCUGGUUUUCAAGGGUGAGUUAAACUUGGGUGGCUUAUCCUCAUGUGGUGUAACCUUAGCAAUUUGUGGUGCUUAACAGUUCAUAUCAAUUGGUAUUAGAGUUAGCCUCAUCUUAUGAGACCUGACACUUGGAGUGGUGACUCAUGGAGUGAUAGUCUAGAUCCAUUGUGUAAGGACAAGUGGUCCGAUGUGUAGGGUGUUAGCGUGGCCGUGACCAACAAGAACGUUGGUUCUUCAAGUGUGGGGUAUUGUUACAAUCCCACGUCGUUAAGGAACAAUCUUGAUGAGAGGUUAAUAAGUCCUUAGACACCCCUUCCCUUGCAAGCUAGUUUUCAAGGGUAAGUUUUUCUUAAGUAGCUUAUUCUCACGUGGUGUAACCUUAGCGAUUCAUGGUGCUUAGUGGUUUAUAUCACAGGGUUAAGCUUGAAUGAAGCGAGGCUAGAAAAAAUAACCAUGGUAAUCCCCCAAACUGAACUGAAUAGAAAUUUAGGGAUUGUGUGGUUUAGGGUUUUGGUUCAAAUGGAACAAUUGUUAAGGUACACAAAUAUAGGUAACCUUUAAUAGGCAAUCUUUUUGAUGGGGAAUAAUAUUUAUUGUUAUAAAUAUAUGUAACAGAUGUAAUAUGUCUAAUUAUCAAUAAUUAUAAUCUUUAAAUAGUAUAUGAUAUUUAUAAUGAUACUAACGUAACUAUAUUAUUAUAUUUAGACUUGGCCAAGAGCUGAAUCAGGACCAGAACAGAACCCAUUCAACUUGGAAAGUUCAAAACCGGAUUGAACAAAACCAUCUUUGAAUUGGAACCUGAACUGUCUGAUUUGAAUCUAAACUAAAAUCAAUUUUAAAAAAAAAAUUAAAAAUUUUUUAAAAAAUUUAACUGUUGGAUUUGAUCAAACCACUAGAAUCUAAUCGGAGCCAGAACUGCGAGGCAGUUGUCAUUAACCUAAAAAUGUAUACUUCUAUAUCUUUGAUAACAGAAGGAAAGAUAAUAUACUAUACUGAAAAGAACAAAAGUUUUACUGAUUUGAUAGUAUCCAUAUAGCUUUACAAAACAUUCUGAAGCUGGAUAUGCCUUUUUGUUUACCUUUUUUCAGGCAUUUUAGCUUUGAUUAUCUGAAAAAACUAGUGUUAAUCAGUUCAUUCACUGUCUAUAGGCCAUGGGUGAUAGCUAAAAAGUUGUCCAGGCAUGAAACAUAUGUGGUGCCUUCAGGAACCUUGAUGCCCAAAUAUCAGGUGAGCUUUUUUUUUUUUUUAAAUAAAAUGUCUGAUUUCUCUUGAUUCUUCAUUAGAGGAAAUGAACUUUUAAAUAUCGUGUAGUUCAAUUUUUAUAAUGUCAUGCUCGCUAGUACUAAAACUGGAGUUCUGUUUUUGUUUGUUUUGUCGAUUUUUGCAUUGAGAUUUUGUGGAACAAUUUACAGCAUAUAAAGGCUGGGAUUACCAAUGAUUUAAAAGUUGUCUAUCCCGGAUCUGAAGAAUACAGGACUGCAAAGCGGUUAAGGGAUUUGUUUAUGGAGUUUUCUGAGCAUCAACAACAAUUACACAAGAGGCUAGCUUUAGAGGAGCAAAAGAUAUUGCAGCCAUCACUGACAGCGUAGUUGCAAGAGAGAGAUGUUAAGUUUUUGCAUAUGCUGCUCCUGUGUACAGUAUGUGCAUCCUUCCUCAUCACAUUAGUAAAUCUGUAAAUGAAAUAUACUCUAUGCAAUUCUGGACAUAGAAAUUUAUUUUUGGGGGGUUUCAUUUUUGAUCUUGGCGAAUGCAUUAGGCCCCUUAGUUUUGUUCAUUUGUCUGGGGAAACAAAAUUUUCAAACAGUCUGCACGAAAUCACAUGCUAAUAGGUAGAAAAAUAAGAUGGAAAACAGGACACUGGAGCAUACACAACUGUAGAAAUCUGGUUAGCUGAAUGGUAUUUUUUCAAUUAUAUAAUUGAUCAUGUUGCUUGUAUUGUUGCAAGAUUUUUUUUUUAAUCCUCUCUCACUAGCUGAUUGGGCAAACUUUGUAGUCCUGUAGAUGAUGCUAGUACCGAAAGUCACUAGAAUUGUUACGAGUACUUUUAGUUUCCACGAGUUACUUGACCUUGUGUUGUGUGGGAAUAGUAAAAAUAGUUGCUUCUUGUUGCUUAAUUGGGGAUCAAAGGGUAAAAGAAAUGCCAUUGGGCAGCCAGAAAUAACUUGAAGGAUAAUU